rnacentral:rRNA from 1 species
CACGUAGGGGGCGAGCGUUGUCCGGAAUCAUUGGGCGUAAAGAGCUCGUAGGUGGUUCGGUAAGUCGGGUGUUAAACCCCCAGGCUCAACGUGGGACGCCACUCGAUACUGCUGUGACUAGAGUCCGGUAGGGGAGCGUGGAAUUCCCGGUGUGAGUGGUGGAAUGCGUAGAUAUCGGGAGGAACACCAGUGGCGAAGGCGGUUGACCUGGAGCUUUGCUGACGCUGAUGCGCGAAAGCGUGGGGAGCGAGUCCGGA